AUUUAAAUUAUUAAUAGUUUUAUUUAUAUUUAAAAAUUUUAUAAAAAUAAUUUAUUUUUUUUUUGUUUAAGUAUUUAUUAAGAAUUAAUUGUUAAAUUUAUAGUUAAUUAGUAUUGUAAAAGAAUUAUUUAAAUUAAAAAAAGAAUUUUAUAAGUACCUUUUGUAUCAGGGUUAAUUAAAAUUUUUAAUUUAUUUUAAAUUCUCAAAAUUUAUAGAGUUAAUUUUGUUAUUAAUUUAUUGUUAUAAAAAUAUUUAAAAAAUAAUAUUAGUUUUGAAAUGUAAUUCGUUAUAAUAUAUUUAGUUAUUUAAGAUUUAAAUUUAAUUUAAAAUUUUAAAAGUUUUAUUAAUUUAAAUUAUUAGUAUUUUAAAAUUAAAUUAUUUUAGGGAUAAGCUUAAAAUUUUUAUAUAAUUAUUUUUAUUAAUUAAAUAAUUGAUAGGAUUAGAAAUUUUUAAUUUAAGUUUGUAAAAAUUUAUUAUUUUGUUAAAUUAAAAUUUAUUAAAAUUUAAUUUAUUUUUAAUAUUAAAUUUUAUAAAUUAAUUAUUAAUUUAUAGUAAUAAUGAUUAAAUUAGUAUAAUUGAAAUUUAUAAAUAGACUCGCAAA
rnacentral:rRNA from 1 species